rnacentral:ncRNA from 2 species
GACAUAAAUAGAGGAGCAAGUAAACGUUGUAGUUUUUAGGUGUUAAGGAGAAGAACCUUCAAGACUAAAAGCGAAGGAUUUACCUGCCGAAAGGUUGUAUUUGUUCUUGGGUAUAACCUUGGGGAUAAGAGGCACACUUUUAUCCUUGCCGUGAACAAGCUUCAUGGAGAGCUAUUUAUGUG